rnacentral:rRNA from 1 species
UACGGAGGGUGCGAGCGUUAAUCGGAAUUACUGGGCGUAAAGCGUGCGUAGGCGGAUGGGUCAGUCAGCCGUGAAAGCCCCGGGCUCAACCUGGGAACGGCGGUUGAGACGGCCCGUCUCGAGUGGGCUAGAGGAUCGUGGAAUUCCGGGUGUAGCGGUGAAAUGCGUAGAGAUCCGGAGGAACACCGAUGGCGAAGGCAGCGGUCUGGGGCCACACUGACGCUGAGGCACGAAAGCGUGGGGAGCAAACAGGAUUAGAUACCCUAGUAGUCC